GGUAAACUACAGUUCCCAGGAUCCUUAGGGAGAAAACCAUGUGCUUUUGACAUGUGCUACCCACCAUUUAAAUGGCUGAUCCAUCAUCUUCAUUGCUUCGUCUCAGGAGAGUGUAGUGUAUUCCAGAGCACGGGGUUAGUUUAUGCAAACUAUAGUUACACUUGUGCGCCUGCCUGGCCCCCCUCCACUAACUAAGACAGUAGGAUUUGCCCUGGAAUCUUCUGCAGCAGAUCCUCAGCUGACAAAUCCAUGAAAAGUCAGGAAGUUUGAAAGCUACUAUUUAAGACAUCUGUUUGCGUUAACACUGAGCUGGUACAACAGCCUUGUUUCUGAGCUCUUGGCUACCUGCUGCACUCUCCUUAUCAAGCUUACUUUGAAUUGUCACUCAUUUGCACCCUUUCUUUCUCUCUCUCUGACAUAGGUAGCAGGUGGCAGAUCAGGAUAAACUGGUAGCUCUCUGAGUGAUUUGAAGUACAUAAAUGUAACCCCAGGCAGGUGACAGCAGAGAGGCUGCAGCGGCAACAGUUGGUGCGUUGCAAGAAGAACAGUCUACAUCCCAAUCCCA